rnacentral:rRNA from 1 species
GAUGAACGCUAGCGGGAGGCUUAACACAUGCAAGUCGUGGGGCAGCACGGGGUAGCAAUAUCCUGGUGGCGACCGGCGCACAGGUGAGUAACGCGUAUGCAACCUACCCAGUACAGGGGGAUAGCCCGGAGAAAUUCGGAUUAAUACCCCAUAAUGAUAUUAAGAGGCAUCUUUUAAUAUUUAAAGCUACGGCGGUACUGGAUGGGCAUGCGUAAGAUUAGCUAGUUGGUAGGGUAACGGCCUACCAAGGCUCCGAUCUUUAGGGGUCCUGGUAGGGUAAUCCCCCACACUGGUACGGAGACACGGACCAGACUACUACGGGAGGCAGCAGUGAGGAAUAGUGGUCAAUGGGCGCAAGGCUGAACCAGCCAUCCCGCGUGAAGGAAGAAUGCGCUAUGCGUUGUAAACUUCUUUUCCGGAGGAAUAAAGUUUUGUACGAGUACAGGACUGAAGUUACUCCGGGAAUAAGCAUCGGCUAACUCCGUGCCAGCAGCCGCCGUAACAC